AAUGGGGGAUAACGUAGCGAAAGUUACGCUAAUACCGCAUAUGCCCUGAGGGGGAAAGUGGGGGAUCGCAAGACCUCACGUUUUCGGAGCGGCCGAUAUCAGAUUAGCUAGUUGGUGGGGUAAAGGCCUACCAAGGCGACGAUCUGUAGCUGGUCUGAGAGGACGACCAGCCACACUGGGACUGAGACACGGCCCAGACUCCUACGGGAGGCAGCAGUGGGGAAUUUUGGACAAUGGGGGCAACCCUGAUCCAGCCAUGCCGCGUGAGUGAAGAAGGCCUUCGGGUUGUAAAGCUCUUUCGGACGGAAAGAAAUCGCACGGGCUAAUAUCCCGUGUGGAUGACGGUACCGUAAGAAGAAGCACCGGCUAACUACGUGCCAGCAGCCGCGGUAAUACGUAGGGUGCGAGCGUUAAUCGGAAUUACUGGGCGUAAAGCGUGCGCAGGCGGUUUAUUAAGACAGAUGUGAAAUCCCCGGGCUUAACCUGGGAACUGCAUUUGUGACUGGUAGGCUAGAGUGUAGCAGAGGGGGGUAGAAUUCCA
rnacentral:rRNA from 1 species